AGGCCUUAAGACCAUCUUUAAGCAAAAAUUCCCCAGAUCAUAUGCAGGGACAAUUCAUAAAAAUACAGUUCCGACCUCACAAAAAGAUGCGUCCAAAGGCAUCAAAGAAAGGCCAAACUCCGAUCUCCCGAAGGAGCUCGGAGCACUAUGGCCAAAAGGUACUGAACUUAAAAAGUGAUCGCUGACGCUAAGCUCAGCUUACAAAGAGGUCUAGACAGC
rnacentral:lncRNA from 1 species